UACAAAGGAGACUAGUGUUAUUCAUCUUUAUUAGGUUUAAAGGGUACCUAGACUGCUUAUCUAGCCCCCUGAGAGGAAUGGAACAGAUUAGCUAGAGUUUUUUUAUGAGAGAGGUAAAUAAAGAAUUGAAGGUGUAAAAGAUAAAAUUUUCUGAUACCUUUUAGGACUGAUCAAGGCGAAGGCGGACCUCUAUGUGAAAACUGACGUUGAGGGACGAAGGCAUUGUGUAACGAACAGG
rnacentral:rRNA from 1 species